rnacentral:lncRNA from 1 species
AGAUUUUAUUUAUUUAUUCAUAGAGACACAGCUAGAGAGAGAGGGGAGAGACACAGGCAGAGGGAGAAGCAGGCACCAUGCAGGGAGCCUGACAUGGGACUCGAUCCCGAGUCUCCAGGAUCACACCCUGGGCUGCAGGCGGCGCUAAACCGCUGCGCCACCGGGGCUGCCCCUAUUUUUUAUUUUAAAAAGAAUUUUAAAGAUUUUGAGUGAGAGAGAGAAAAUGAGCAAUGGGGGAGGGGCAGAGGAAGAGAAAGAGAGAACCAGACACCCUGCUGAACAUGAAGCCCGACAUAGGGCUGGAUCCCAGGACCCAGAGAUUGUGCCCCUGAGCAGAAGCCAGGCAGACCUGUAACUGACUGAGCCACCCAGGCACCCAGGUGUUACACUUUUUAACAAUGCAUAGCAACUUGGAAUUUGCAUACUAUCUCCAAGAUUCCUCCUGCCUACUAAUCUGUAAGCAGAUUUAAUAACCCCUUAGAUAUAGAUAAGAUGACAUUCUGGUUCUCUGACAGUUCCCCUCUAUUAACUUCCUUAUCAACUAUAUGCUUUAAAAAAAACCCUAAGUAUUCAAGAUAAAUCAUCUCUUUUUUCCCAAUUCAAAAGAGGGACAAAUGGGGUCCCUGGGUGGCUCAGUUGGUUAAGCAUCUGACUCAUCUCAGCUCAAGGUCCUGAGCUUGAGCCCUGCAUUGGGCUCUCUGCUCUGGGCGUGGAGCCUACUUAAAGAAGAGAAAAAGGGAAAGAAAAACAGAUAAACAAAAAUGUUAGAUAAGAUAUACUCAGGCCUUGACUUCAUGCGCUCCUAACAUAUUUCAUAGAUACAUUCCUGUUUUCCUUAGUGUUUUUAACCCUCAUUCACAUAUUUUUAAAUCUUAGCUUUAUGAAUACAGUGCUAGAAUAGCACUCUUGAUUUCAGCUCAGGUCAUGAUCUCAAGGGUUUGUGAGAUCCUGUGAGCCUGCAUCAGGCUCUGCACUCAGCUGGGAGUCUGCUUGAAGAUGCUCUCUCCUUCUCUCCCCUGGGCCCCUUCCCCCACUCUGUCUCUCUAAAGUAAAUAAAUAAAUCUUUUUAAAAAACCCACUAAGACAAAAAAUUAUUAUUUUAAAUAUAUAUAGGAAAAAACUGCGAAUAUACAGGAACAGGUAACAUGGUAUAAAAAUGCACUUACAUACUACUACUAACAGCUACUGCUAUGAGUCCUGCUUUUCCUCUACCUCAUUUUGCUCUCAACACUAAACCAGAAUUGCAAAAUCCCCUGACAUGUUAAAGAAAUCAUCCUAUCCUACCCCCCCCCAGCCCACUCUUACACACACACAUACACACACACACACAAAAUGCUAAAACCUCCUCAAUCACGGUAAAUUUUGACAUACAAAUGAAGUCCUCAAACAUUUCUCUUAAGGCCUCUAAUAGUGAGGAAACCAGGUGUAUCUUCAAUAACCAUCUUGACACCACUAAUUCCUUUCAUCAAGCCUGGGCAAGCUGAACAGACAAUUCAAAUAAACAGGUUUUGUUUCAGCCUGAACAAAAGAGGUACUAAAAAGAUGCUAUAAUUGUAACAUUUAGAUACCUCUUAUACAUCAAAAGCUACACUUCCUUUGAGCUCUAGUUCUAAAUUAUAAUUUAGCAGAAAUAACAUUUUAUACACUUACAUUGAACUGAAUUUCUAGUCUAACCUCGAAUAUGAUCUUACUAAACUUGCAUUUUUUUCUUUUAAUAUUCUUCCCUUCCUUUCAAAUCAAGUUGUUUACUAGCAAGUCUAACCAAGCCUGGUUAGUAAAUCAACACAAAACAGAAAGAAUUCCUACAGAGUAAAAGAGAUGGAAUUACUGUAUCUCAUUUUUCUCAUGGAAAAUUUCCUAUUACUUGAUACAAAUAGGGAAAAUUCUUUUUUUUUGUAUAAAGAUUUUAUUUAUUUAUUCAUGAGAGACAGAGAGAGAGAGAGAGAGAGAGAGAGAGAGAGAGGCAGAGACACAGGCAGAGGGAGAAGCAGGCUCCAUGCAGGGAGCCUGACGUGGGACUCAAUCCCGGGUCUCCAGGAUCUUGCCCUGGGCUGAAAGCUGUGCUAAACCGCUGAGCCACCCGGGCUGCCAAAUAGGGAAAAUUCUAAACAUACAUCUUAGUAAAACACAGAUCCAGCAUUUGAGUAUGGGAUAUAAUUAUGCCCAUAGAACAUCAUUCUCUUGAACUACUUCCCAUUAUAUAUAUGUGCAUUAUAUAUAUUAUAUAUAAUGCAAUGAUCACCACAAUAACUGUAAUCAUAUCUAUCACCACAGUACAUUAUUACAACAUUAUUGACCAUAUUCUCUAUGCUAUACUUUUAUCCUCAUGGCUUAUUUUAUAACUGGAAGUUUGUAUCUGUUAAUGCUCUUCACCUAUUCACUCUAUUAUUUCUUUAAUUGAAAGGAUUUUUAAAAAGAUUUAUUUAUUCAUGAGAGGCACACAGAGAGCGAGGCAGAGACACAGGCAGAGUUCGGAGAAGCAGGCUACCUGCGGGGAGCCUGAUGUGGGACUCGAUCCCGGGACUCUGGGAUCACGCCCUGAACCAAAGGCAGAUGCUCAACCCUUGAGCCACCCAGGUGCCCCGAAAGGAUUUUUGAGGUAACAUAUGUGUUGCAAGAAGAUUGCUGGUGCUAAAUCCUUUAUGUAUGGUUUUUUCUUUCUAGUGUUUUCCUUCGUUGACUAUAAAAAAUAAUGCAUACUCAUUUUGUAACUUUUGAAAAAAUUCAUAAGGAAAAUGAAAGUCUUUUCAUAAUCCUACCAUCUUGAGAUAUAAUCCCUGCUAACAAGGAAACAAACAUCUUUACAAAUAUUUCUAUAAAUUUGUAUAUAUUUGAAAUAUUUAUGAUUUUUGUAUCACUUUAAGAUUAUAACAUAAGCAUCUUUUAUGUUAUUAUAUAGGUUUUUGAAAUAUAAUACUAAAUGACUAUGUAAUAGUCACAUCACAUGGACAUUACAUAAACUCUUUUUUCUUUUUUUUAUUGUGGUAAAAACAUGUACUAUAAAAUGUAACAUCUUAACCAUUUUUAAGUGGAC